GACAGAUUUUGCAAGCUCAGUAGUUGAUUUGGUGGGGUACUGAUUCCUGGAGCUUACCUAUGUUGGAAGGGUUUGAGUUACACGUUCAGCUGUUUUUUUUAGGUUCCCAGGCUAGGGGUCAAAUGGGAGCUGUAGCCGCCGGCCUAUACCACAGCCACAGCUGCACCGGAUCCAAGCCACAUCUGCAACCUGUACCCCAGCUCACAGCAAUGCCGGAUCCUUAACUCACUGAGCGGGGCCAGGGAUCAAGUCCGGGUCCUCACGGAUGCGAGUCGGGUUCAUUAACCACAAGCCAGGACGGGAACUCAUUUGUUCUUUUUGAGUUGCGUAACUUCAUCUGCGUUGAGAGCACUUGCCCUCAUUUCAUGGGGUGUGGUCGCAGCUCAUGUCCUUUCUGCUGCCCCCGGCAUAUGCUUACGUCGCUGUUUUCUCUCCCUUUAGGGGUUUUCCUGGCUCUUUGCACAUCGAGUCAUUCUGGAUGGUUCUGGACAUCUUGCGUGGUCUCUGAAUCCUAUGUAAAGCCUCUAGAGAAUGUUAACUUUUUUUCUUUUUUUAAAGCAGGCACAUGAUCCAGCCAGGGUCAGACUGAACUGCCAACCUACCCGCUGUGCGCCGUGGUUCCAGGUCAGUGGUUCUCCAAGCUUGCCGAGCAGCGUGGGCAGCUCAAGGUUUCGUCGUCUCACCAGAGCGCGUCUGAAACCUGCGAACACUGGUCACUGGGGACAGGAGCACGGAGGCGGGUCCACCUGGGUCUUUCCACCCCCGCACGCGGUGCAGCCUCACCUCCGCUCGGGCCUCAACUCACCACGCGGUGAUGGCACGGAGCCUCCAGAGCUGCCUCAGCCCACGAGGCACGGGGCCCAGACGCGCGCCUCCCCCAGCGGCUGCCACCCUCUGGUCUGAGGAGCUCGUCGGCUUCUACGAACCGAAGGCCUCCUCUCUCGACUCCUUUCUCGGGUGGAGGAAGGUCACCCUGCAGGAUGGCGGUCGCCUCCUCCUCCGCUCCAUUCACUUCGGCGUGAACUACGGCAUCACCAGAGCGGCUCCUCCGGAGCAAGAAGGGGCCGCGACCUAAAGCACUGGAAGCAGGGAUCCGCCGCGGACCCCGGCCCCAAAGGCGCGGCCGUCCAGGCCGCUGUCCGCACCGCCCUGCCUGUCUCUAGGGAGGGCGCCACUCUUCGCUCCGUGGGAACUGUCCUUGAAGGCGGUGCCACACCCCGGGUGACGGGCCGGGACCUGCGUGCCCGCCUGCCCCUUAGACACGGUUUCCGUCUCACAGGACGACGUGGCUCAGCUGCUUUGCAACGUCCCUUCCCAGGCUGAGCGCUGAGCCUGCAGGAGAAACGGCAGCUACGGGCUGUUCAACUCCAACUCGACGGCAACAGCCAGGCUGACUCAGCGGGGCCUGCGACCGGAGCCUGUGCCCGGGCACACGCGCUCCCCCUUCCCGCGGUGGAGCCCGGAGCUGGCACUGCUGUCGUCACAGCCGCUCCUUCCGACACUUGUUCCAGCGCACGAGGCCUCUGGCGAGCUCCGAACAGAGCAGUGCCUGCUUAAGCUUAUCCAAAGGACAAUGAUACUCUGUAUUCAAUUAAAAUUAAUAAAAAUAUUUUAUUGAGUUUCAGGAACUUGGUACGUUUAAAAUUUCAAAUCUUUGCACACAGAUCACCACUAUACCUUAUAGAAUAGUGGAGGUUAGGACCCGAAGAUUGUCACUUGUCUCCUUGUGUCACAAAGCACAGAAAUCCCAAGUCCUGACACGGCCCCACCCUCUGACCGUGACUCUGGCCUACUCUGUCGUCCUGGGAGGGGACGGUGCGAGGGGUGACGUGUCCGGAGAGCUCAACUGUCCGAGUGGAGACCCCCCGACUCGAGAGGAAGCUCAGUCCGCGCACGAACCCGGGAGGAGCCGCGUCACUCGCCUCCCGCGUGAGUCCCCCUUUUGCGUCUUGUCGGGUUCAGGGCGAAGCUGCUGAAAUGAAGUUUCUUGUCCCUGAGGGAGCGCAGACGUUUGGCAAAGGUCAGAGCAGACACUGCCUGCAGUGAGGCGCUUAGGAACAGCCGUGCGCGGCUGGGCAGGGUCCAGUGCGACGUGACCUCUGCAGCACCAGGCUUCCCCCAGGGCCACGGGAACCAGCUGUUUCUCCCAGGGCUCGGGGGCCACAGGGCUCCUGGGACUUCCGGGCUAAAUUCAAACAUAAAAAGUGCCUGCGGUGUGGUGGUUUGUUAAUCUGUGGGGUUUUCUGCCCUCUCCCUGGCAUUCUGAGAUUUCUAUGUGCCAGUGAGUAAGCCGACUGAACAAGACGGAGGAGCAGCAAAGAGACCGCCUCACCUGUGACAAGGGCGCGCGUUAGCGCCUGACAACGCAGCCUGUCCUCCUCUUCUUGGGCUCUGAGGACGGGCGCUCUCCCGACCCACGAGCCCACCAGGGAGCCCCCAGACCCACACAAUCUACACACGGGCUCGGCAUCACCCACCGACAGGCGGCGCCUGCAGGCGACGGUGGUGGGACGUGUCUCCUAGGAGCACGGGCCAGGCCAUCUGCCCGCGGGGGGCCCCGUCCACCUCCCUCCCCAGAACUCACGGUCAGGGGCUCCAGCGGCCAUCAGUGAAGCCACCCAACCUCACACGCGGACACAGCGUGAUCUGAAUGAUUUUGCCGACUGCAAACCUUCUGAGUCAAAAGAGAAACACAAACGUACAUUCCAAGGUCUCUGGAAAGUGCCUGGGAGGCAGGCUGCUGCCUGAGGCACUCGGACCCGUCCGUGCUGCAGUCUGCAAGCGAGGCUUUGCCACUGUCACACACGUGGUCUGGAGUUGACAUGAUGGUUUUGUUUUAUUUCUGAGAUGGCUGAGUUAUAAAUCCAGCUAGUGUGCAGUCAUUUCAUAAUUUUUAAUACGCAUCGUCUGCAAUAACAUUGUGACAGCUCCAUACCGUGGAUUGACACACAAUACUGAGAACAGAUUUAUCAUAUUUGGUCUUUAGGUAAAUAAUAAAUGUUUUAAAAUUGCCUAAAUAUACCAUUCUGAGCCGUUUCAUUCCACCAGGAAAAUACAGGGUUUUUUCCCCUCUCUUUAAAAAAAAUUAAAUACCAAAAUAACUACAUUUAAAUAAAUAACGUUAUGAUGAUGACAUUUAAAAAUUCACAAGAAGGCCAGCGCCCUCUUUCUGCCUGCAGGGCUGCUCAGCUCCGAGCCCGGAUCGCUCUGGGAGGCGAGUGGCUGCUUCCCGAGGAGGGCGAGGGCCGUGCGAGGCCGCCGCCUCCGACUCUCUCACCUUCGCUUGCUCUCUGCCUGCUCUUGUUUGGGUGGGAGAGCAGUGAGCCGUAGUCCUCGAGUCAGUUCUCACAGGCGAGGGGCAUUUCCUAGUACAAGUCAGAGAACGACCUGGAUGUUUCCAGCGCUUGCCCAGAGGUGCCGCAGGAACAGGCAGCUUCUGCUCCAGUGCGAGGGGGGCUUCGGCAGCGCUUCCGGCCGGCGGGUCAGACGUGCCGAGAGCUGGUGAUGGCACCUCCGCUGCCGACGCCCUCGGGGAGAUCUGUGACAUCUGAGAGGAUGUGUGAUAAAAAGAUUAAAUCUUUUUUCCAAAUGAAGAAGUGAUAGCUCUGUUGUUUUAAACAUACACACUACGUAGGAGACCUGUUUUACUGAGAGUGGAAAUUGUGCCGGGGUCAAGGUCGACACAAAGGGACAAACGACAGCAAGGAGCAGAGAAGAGAAACAGGAAGCGCAGCUCCGGAGCCCGGUGGCUCCUCCGGCGGGGGUGGCGCGGUCGGUCGGUGCCCCGCGUGGGCGUGGAGGAGGAGCAAGAGCAGCGGCCCGGGGCUGACGAGGAGACCCUGCGGGUGUCGUCAAGGGCCCCAUCUGACUGGAGCAGGACAGACAAGGGUCCGUCAUCCCAGAGGCUGCAAACAAACAACAAAAACAAACAAAACCACGUCGCUGCUUCUCCCCAGACGAAAUCCACGCGAGAGGUCCGUGGGAUUCCGAGCGUGCCAGGGCGGAAAUGGAGUGAUCUGAAAUGUCAAAGACCCCAUUACUUUGCAAAGAAAGAAAGUACACCUCAAAAUAUUCUACUUCCACGUGUCAACAACAAAACACUGUCUCGUGCGCCAGCGGCGGGGGCCCCGGCCCCGGCCCCGCAGAUC
rnacentral:lncRNA from 1 species